GGCAGACCCAGGGAACUGAAACAUCUAAGUACCUGGAGGAAGAGAAAGAAAAAUCGAUUUCCUGAGUAGCGGCGAGCGAAACGGAAAGAGCCCAAACCAAGAAGCUUGCUUCUUGGGGUUGUAGGACACUCUAUACGGAGUUACAAAAGAAAGUUAUAAAUGAAGCGGUCUGGAAAGGCCCGCCAAAGACGGUAACAGCCCGGUAGUUGAAAUGGCUUUCCCUCCAGAGUGGAUCCUGAGUACGGCGGAACACGUGAAAUUCCGUCGGAAUCCGGGAGGACCAUCUCCCAAGGCUAAAUACUCCCUAGUGACCGAUAGUGAACCAGUACCGUGAGGGAAAGGUGAAAAGCACCCCGGAAGGGGAGUGAAACAGUUCCUGAAACCGUGUGCCUACAAGUAGUUAGAGCCCGUUAAUGGGUGAUAGCGUGCCUUUUGUAGAAUGAACCGGCGAGUUACGAUUUGUUGCAAGGUUAAGCGGAAAAAGCGGAGCCGUAGCG
rnacentral:rRNA from 1 species